rnacentral:rRNA from 1 species
CAGUCGAGCGGUCCUUCGGGACAGCGGCGAACGGGUUAGUAACGCGUGGGACGUGCCCUUUAGUACGGAAUAGCCAUUGGAAACGAUGAUUAAUACCGUAUACGCCCCAAGGGGGAAAGAUUUAUCGCUAAAGGAUCGGCCCGCGUUAGAUUAGGUAGUUGGUAGGGUAACGGCCUACCAAGCCGACGAUCUAUAGCUGGUUUGAGAGGAUGAUCAGCAACACUGGGACUGAGACACGGCCCAAACUCCUACGGGAGGCAGCAGUGGGGAAUCUUGCACAAUGGAGGAAACUCUGAUGCAGCGAUGCCGCGUGAGUGAAGAAGGCCUUUGGGUUGUAAAGCUCUUUCGUCGGGGAAGAAAAUGACUGUACCCGAAUAAGAAGCUCCGGCUAACUUCGUGCCAGCAGCCGCGGUAAUACGAAGGGGGCUAGCGUUGUUCGGAAUCACUGGGCGUAAAGCGUAUGUAGGCGGAUCAAAAAGUUAGAUGUGAAAUCCCUGGGCUCAACCCAGGAACUGCAUUUAAACUAGUGAUCUAGAAUUUGGUACGGGUACGUAGAACUUCCAGUGUAGAGGUGAACUCGGAGAUAUUGGAAAGACUCCAGUGUGGAAGGGGAUAACCUGGGCCCUUAUGACGCCUGAAUACGACAGCGUGGGUAGCAACCAGGCUUCGAUCCCUGUUUUUCCCGCAGCAAACGACGACUGC